UCCGGUUUGUCACCGGCAGUCUCACUAGAGUGCCCAACUAAAUGGUGGCAACUAAGUACGAGGGUUGCGCUCGUUGCGGGACUUAACCCAACACCUCACGACACGAGCUGACGACAGCCAUGCAGCACCUGUGCACACUGGUAUUGCUACCUCGUCACCCUUUCAGGCUUCUACUAUGUGCAUGUCAAGGCCAGGUAAGGUUCUUCGCGUUGCAUCGAAUUAAGCCACAUACUCCACCGCUUGUGCAGGCCCCCGUCAAUUUCUUUGAGUUUUAGCCUUGCGGCCGUACUCCCCAGGCGGGGCACUUAAUGCGUUAGCUGCGGCACGGGGGGAGUCGACACCCCCCACACCUAGUGCCCAUCGUUUACGGCGUGGACUAC
rnacentral:misc_RNA from 1 species